GGGGAAUUUUGGACAAUGGGCGAAAGCCUGAUCCAGCAAUGCCGCGUGCAGGAAGAAGGCCUUCGGGUUGUAAACUGCUUUUGUACGGAACGAAACGGUCCUUUCUAAUAAAGAGGGCUAAUGACGGUACCGUAAGAAUAAGCACCGGCUAACUACGUGCCAGCAGCCGCGGUAAUACGUAGGGUGCGAGCGUUAAUCGGAAUUACUGGGCGUAAAGCGUGCGCAGGCGGUUCUAUAAGACAGAUGUGAAAUCCCCGGGCUCAACCUGGGAAUGGCAUUUGUGACUGUAGAGCUAGAGUACGGUAGAGGGGGAUGGAAUUCCGCGUGUAGCAGUGAAAUGCGUAGAUAUGCGGAGGAACACCGAUGGCGAAGGCAAUCCCCUGGACCUGUACUGACGCUCAUGCACGAAAGCGUGGGGAGCAAACAGGAUUAGAUACCCUGGUAGUCCACGCCCUAAACGAUGUCAACUGGUUGUUGGGUGCAUUAGUACUCAGUAACGAAGCUAACGCGUGAAGUUGACCGCCUGGGGAGUACGGCCGCAAGGUUG
rnacentral:rRNA from 1 species